UAAGGUCAUUUUUUAAGACCUAUAUGGAUGACAAUUUCAUGCUGUACAGAGCAUAGGGUAGAUUUCCCAUGCUACACCUUGGAUAUACACUUAUUUAGAUCUAUUCGAUCAACCAAUCAUUAGAGCAUAGGAAGUGAGGUAAUUCACUCCUAGGUAUAAAUAGGCCAGAUAUAGCCUCUCCAGUUCACUUACCAUCCAGGAGAGGAGGCUGACACACAUCCAGAACCUUUUAGUGUAAGUACUACUUUACGACCUUAAAUUAAAUUGAUCAACCUCUCACCUAAUUGAUUGUGAGGUAAAGAUCUGAUUAUUUCUAUUUAUUACAGCUGCUUUCCUCACUGGACAUUUUGUUUGGUGUUAUUGGCUUGACUUUAAAAUCCCUUGUGAACUUUCAUUAAUCUUGGAGGACACAAUCUAAUUGGUCAUUUGCCCCAUAAUUAAAUAAAGUACCUACAAGGAACCACAAUUAAGGAGCAGCUGAUUAGAAGUUCACGAGAGUUUCUAGUAUCAUUAUAGAUAUAUAUCACGUUUUAUCACUCUUCACAGUGAGAUCAUCUUGUAGGAAAUUUGCUAAAGCAUUAUUCCACUGUGACUUGUACCCCUGAUGAAGUCCAUAAUGGACGAAACGCGUUGGGUUUUAUGAGAUAUAUAUAGCAUACACUGUUUCUGCAUAAAUGUGUAUUGUGCUUAUGGAACAACGUGUAUGACAAAUUUUAACGUGUAUUAAAAAUAAUCUUUCUAUCAUUCCGGUUAUGCUGGUUGGAUUUUACUUUGAGUAAUUAUUUCAAUUUUAA